UGAGGAAUCUUCCGCAAUGGACGAAAGUCUGACGGAGCAACGCCGCGUGCAGGAUGACGGCCUUCGGGUUGUAAACUGCUUUUAUUUGGGAAGAUUGUGACGGUACCAAAUGAAUAAGGACCGGCUAACUACGUGCCAGCAGCCGCGGUAAUACGUAGGGUCCAAGCGUUAUCCGGAAUCACUGGGCGUAAAGCGUGCGUAGGUGGUAAUUUGCGUGCAACGCGAAAUUGUGUGGCUCAACCAUACAACGUUGUUGCAUACGGGAUUACUAGAGGACAUGAGAGGCAAGUGGAAUUACUGGUGUAGCAGUGAAAUGCGUAGAUAUCAGUAGGAACACCAAUGGCGAAGGCAGCUUGCUGGCAUGUAUCUGACGCUAAGGCACGAAAGCGUGGGGAGCGAACAGGAUUAGAUACCCGCGUAGUCC
rnacentral:rRNA from 1 species